GUGCUUGCUUGGGCAGUACACACACUGAAAUUGGAACAAUACAGAGAAGAUUGGCACGGCUCCCGCACAAGGAUGACGCGCAGAUUUGUGAAGCGUUCCAUAUUUAA